UACGAAGGGGGCUAGCGUUGCUCGGAAUCACUGGGCGUAAAGGGUGCGUAGGCGGGUCUUUUAAGUCAGGGGUGAAAUCCUGGAGCUCAACUCCAGAACUGCCUUUGAUGCUGAGGAUCUUGAGUUCGGGGAGAGGUGAGUGGAACUGCGAGUGUAGAGGUGAAAUUCGUAGAUAUUCGCAAGAACACCAGUGGCGAAGGCGGCUCACUGGCCCGAUACUGACGCUGAGGCACGAAAGCGUGGGGAGCAAACAGGG
rnacentral:rRNA from 1 species